UGCAUGGGAACCUGCAGGGGGGAGAAUGGCUUGGCCAGGGCCUGGGAGCACAGCUAUAUUUGGUCAGCAGACAAGGCCCCUGCCUUAGCCUCUAGAGGUCCAGCAGGCUGGGCCGGGCAGGAAGCCAGGGAAGGCGGGAGGGAGGGAGAGGAGAGCGGCGGGGAGUCUGUCUAAUCUUGAGGUUGUAAACUGAGUGGAAUCCAAGCACAGAGGUGUCUUGUUUGUUGUUUGGCCCACCUGGUGCUUUAAAUCAAGAGAGUGGCUGGAGUUAGGUGGGACUGCCCAUUUAAAGGGGGCCCGUAGCAUCCAUUUUGCACCCCGCCCAUCCCCACCUCUUGAUCCCUGCCUGCUUCAUUAACGGCAGUGAUGGCACCUACAUUUGCAGCCUCUAGUCCAGCAGACUAAAGGAAACUGUUGUCCAUGUUGUCGACUCUGAUGGCACCCCCCAGCCUUUCAGUGGGGAUCUGGCUGGGAUAGGAUCAGAGCCCAUCAGUAAGCUGGGAGACAUGACAUAGCUUGAGUAUUGAGCUUGGCCAUUGGAAGCAUUUGGAGAAAGGACAUUGUUCCAUUACGCUCAAAGAGAACACUUCCCAUUGAUCAGGACAGAAACUGUCCUCUGAUUGCUUCUCAGCCUGAGCUUCUGUGUGCAUAUGAGCAUGAGCAUGUGAUUCUGUGUAUAGAUGUGUGUGUGCAUGUGUGUGCACGUGUGCGUGUGUAUGGGCCACACAGCAAGCAUCACACCCAGCUGUCCCUGGACAACUGUGUCAGUCAAGGAUUGGCGUCUCCAUCUAUUGAACCAUUGGAGUCUCCAUCUAUUUGAGACAUGACCCUGAGGCCCUCUGAACCCUACCACUUGACUCUGGAGGAUCUUCUCGGAAGGAGAUGUCCCUCUAGGACCAGGAGCCAAGCUGGGGCCGG
rnacentral:lncRNA from 1 species